GAUGAAGAACGCAGCGAAAUGCGAUAAGUAAUGUGAAUUGCAGAAUUCAGUGAAUCAUCGAAUCUUUGAACGCACAUUGCGCCCGCCAGUAUUCUGGCGGGCAUGCCUGUUCGAGCGUCAUUACAACCCUCAGGCCCCCGGGCCUGGCGUUGGGGAUCGGCGGAGCCCCCCGUGGGCACACGCCGUCCCCCAAAUACAGUGGCGGUCCCGCCGCAGCUUCCAUCGCGUAGUAGCUAACACCUCGCGACUGGAGAGCGGCGCGGCCACGCCGUAAAACACCCAACUCUUCUGAAGUUGACCUCGAAUCCGGUAGGAAUACCCGCUGAACUUAAGCAUAUCAAUAAGCGGAGGA
rnacentral:misc_RNA from 1 species